GGAUCGAUGAUGAUUUCCAAUAAAACAUUCCUUGGAAAGCUGAACAAAAUGCGUGUAAACUCAAUACCUGCCACUAUCAUCGUGACUGAGGUCC
rnacentral:snoRNA from 1 species